AACCUUAUAGUCAAUAGUAUAUGAUAUUAAAUUGCAAAUUUAAAGUAAAAUUUUUUUUUAAGGUUU
rnacentral:tRNA from 1 species